CCCCCUGUGCCACCAGGGUGGCCCUAGAUUUAUUUUUUUAAUAUUUUAUUUUAUAUAAUUCUUACAACAUUCCUAUUUUUAUUUUUAUUUAUUUAUGCAUUUUUAUUUAUGCAUACAAGAACUCUACCAAUUUCUAAUUCAAAGUUUGCUUUUUUUGUUUAAAGAUUUAUUUUUGUGUAGAAGACCUGGGGUGCAGGCCAGCAGUGUCGGGUGAUGAGAGGAUUUACCAGUGACAGAGUGGGGAGCAGAACAGACGGAUAUACUGAAAUACACUGCUCAGGGGAGCAGCAGGCUUCACUGAUUAGGGAUGAAGAAGGUUGUGGCUGACACCCCAGGAUGCCAAAGCUGCUGCAGCCGGUGUGCUCAUGAACAAAAGGGCACUGAGAAGCCAGUGUCUUGUCUUAAGUACCUUCCUGUGUGGAACUCAGAACCCCAAGGAAACAGGUGAGUGUCUGAGUUGAUGCCUGGUGAGCAGCAGACCAGGUCAGCUUGCCAAGGAGCGGCCCUCAGCCGUGUUCCUCUGACACCUUGGGAUCACAGAGCUGUAAGCAUGAGGCAGCUCUGGAGCUGUGGCUGCCUAGGCCUUUUCCUAUCAGAAUAGCAUCUGACAAUCAUAUUAUUUACUCUCUCAAUGACCUCUUUUUGAAGUGUGCUUGCCUGCCGUGCAGAAGCUCUUUGCUAUGCUAUGAGAACCAGGGUACAGGCCAGAUGCACUGGAGGGUGAGAGCAUUCACCGGAGACAGAGCGGGGAACAGAACAGGCAGACUGACGAAAUACACACUGGUGAGGGGAGCAGCAGGCAAGACAGGAGAGGUCUGCCGCGCCAUGUGGGAGACUCGCCGGCCGGCCAGGAUUGAACCAGCGCUGCAGAGGCUGCGGACACCUUCACAGCAUGGCUCUCAACCACCUGCGCCACCAGGAAGGCCAAUUUUUACUUAUUUUUUAAACAGAUUUCUUUACUUAUGAACACAAGAGCUGGGGUGCAGCCAGAGGUGCGGGGGUGGGGGCAAGGGGAUUCACCAGAGACAGCGCGGGGAACAGAGCAGGUGAACUGCCUGAAAUCCACUGCUGAGGGGAGCAGCGGGGAGACAGGAGAGGUCUGCGGCGCCCUAUGGGUCACCUUCCUGCCUGGGGAUGUGAUGUUGGCACCAGAUGAUGUGACGAGUCCCUUCACGGUCGCCAAAAUGUUGUAGGUGUAGAGUGCGUGCGGGUCCUAGGGGUCACUCUGGGAAAGGUGCCCCCAGAGCUCCCGUUCCAGCAGGACACAACGAGUUCCCCAGCCACGUUUCUCCAUGAGACAGAGACACUAGUUACAUUAAAGGGCAGAUUUAGGGCCUUUCCUGGUGGCGCAGCGGUUGAGCGCUGGGCCGUGGUGCUGCCUGCAGCCUCUGCAGCGCCUGUUCGUUCCCUGGCCGCUGGCGAGGGUCCCACAAAAAAACAGGGCAGAUUUAUUAGGGAAAGGGAAAGGGACAGGUUUUGCUGAGAGAGGCCUGACAGGUCACAGCAGGCAGGAGGCUGCUGCCCUACAGAGGGAGAGAGUUGAUGAGAAGAGGCACCUGCAUAGUCACGGGUGGGCAGAGGGAUGGCUGCCUUGAGCCCGUGCAGAGACUGCUCUGAUACAGCCCUUUUCUCUUUGGGAGGGUCACUCCUCCAUGGAGUGGCUGUUUGUUGCUGAUGUCAGGUAACAGGCAACACUAGAAAGGGACCAGAGAUUCCAGGGUGGGCCCCAUCUCCAUAUCCUUCCCCUCAGGCCUGUGUGCCACUCCCUAGAGCUUCGGAUCCUGCUCAGGUGUCCUGCCCUGUGACUAGGCACUGGUGCCUAAGGGUCUGACCUCCACAGCUGGGUUAAUGGUCCUGUUAUUCCCCUCGACCCCCACCUCCUUGCGUGAGUCAGGUUUUAGUCGCGUGAGGCCUCCUUUCCAGUCUUUCCAUCAGAUGGAACUCGAGCUGCAGAGGCUGCGGAUGGCCUCACAGUGUGGUGCUUAACCCCUGCACCAUCAGGGAGGCCCCACGCCUUGCUUUUAUGUCAGCUUCAGGUAAGGGGAUUUUUAACAACGAUUAAAAAAAAAAUCUUUCCCAGAAAUUCAAGCAACCUUGUUUGCUGUUUUAAUGACUUGUGGAUAUUUUAGGGUCUGGCUGUGGCAGACACUGUCAGUGAAAGGCUGGGAGUCGCGGAGCCUGCAACAGACCCGCCUGUGCCUCCUGCCCUGGAGUUAUGUUGGGACAAGGCCUGGGGGUGGACUAAAAGUUUCAGGGAGUGACUGGCCAGGAGCCUGACUUGUGCCCCUUAGAUGACCAGGUGAGCUCUUAGAAGUCUCCUGCUUCUCUACUCCCUGCUUGCUUCAAGUUGUAAAUGUGCCCCUUCUGGGGCCAUGGGUGCUCUGUCACCCAAUGGCUCAGGGCUCGGACUUUGGAAAAAGAUCACCUCUGGGCCUGCGGGAUAAAUAAAGAUGAAUUUUUUCCAUAACCUCUUACAAUCUAAAAAUCAAAAGGUAGAAGGUCCUAACUCAAUGCAAAUAAAACGAGGUGUGUUAAGAAUUGUAUUUAAAACAGGACCUCCCCUGGUGGCGAAGGUGGUUGUAGGUGGUUGAGCGCAGCGCUGUGAAGCUGUCUGCAGCCUCUACAG